GAUGAAGAAUGUAGCGAAAUGCGAUACGUAAUGUGAAUUGCAGAAUUCAGUGAAUCAUCGAAUCUUUGAACGCAUAUUGCGCUCUCUGGUAUUCCGGAGAGCAUGCUUGUUUGAGUAUCAGUAAACACCUCAACUUCCAUAUCUUUUUUGAAAUGGGAGUUGGACUUGAGUGAUCCCAACGCUUUUCCUCACCGAAAAGUGGCGGGUUACUUGAAAUGCAGGUGCAGCUGGACUUUUCUCUGAGCUAUAAGCAUAUCUAUUUAGUCUGCCUAAAAAACAGAUUAUUACCUUUGCUGCAGCUAACAUAAAGGAGAUUAGUUCUUGUGCUGACUGAUGCAGGAUUCACAAAGACAGGCUUCGGCCGACUUUGUAAACUCGAUCUCAAAUCAAGUAAGACUACCCGCUGAACUUAAGCAUAUCAUAAGCGGAGGA
rnacentral:misc_RNA from 1 species